rnacentral:rRNA from 1 species
CCUACGGGCGACAGCAGUAGGGAAUCUUCCACAAUGGGCGAAAGCCUGAUGGAGCAACGCCGCGUGGGUGAAGAAGGUCUUCGGAUCGUAAAACCCUGUUGUUAGAGAAGAAAGUGCGUGAGAGUAACUGUUCACGUUUCGACGGUAUCUAACCAGAAAGCCACGGCUAACUACGUGCCAGCAGCAGCGGUAAUACGUAGGUGGCAAGCGUUAUCCGGAUUUAUUGGGCGUAAAGGGAACGCAGGCGGUCUUUUAAGUCUGAUGUGAAAGCCUUCGGCUUAACCGGAGUAGUGCAUUGGAAACUGGGAGACGUGAGUGCAGAAGAGGAGAGUGGAACUCGAUGUGUAGCGGUGAAAUGCGUAGAGAUAUGGAAGAACACCAGUGGCGAAAGCGGCUCUCUGGUCUGUAACUGACGCUGAGGUUCGAAAGCGUGGGUAGCAAACAGGAUUAGACACCCCAGUAGUC